GAUGAACGCUGGCGGCGUGCCUAAUACAUGCAAGUCGAGCGAACAGACGAGGAGCUUGCUCCUCUGACGUUAGCGGCGGACGGGUGAGUAACACGUGGAUAACCUACCUAUAAGACUGGGAUAACUUCGGGAAACCGGAGCUAAUACCGGAUAAUAUAUUGAACCGCAUGGUUCAAUAGUGAAAGACGGUUUUGCUGUCACUUAUAGAUGGAUCCGCGCCGCAUUAGCUAGUUGGUAAGGUAACGGCUUACCAAGGCAACGAUGCGUAGCCGACCUGAGAGGGUGAUCGGCCACACUGGAACUGAGACACGGUCCAGACUCCUGCGGGAGGCAGCAGUAGGGAAUCUUCCGCAAUGGGCGAAAGCCUGACGGAGCAACGCCGCGUGAGUGAUGAAGGUCUUCGGAUCGUAAAACUCUGUUAUUAGGGAAGAACAAAUGUGUAAGUAACUAUGCACGUCUUGACGGUACCUAACCAGAAAGCCACGGCUAACUACGUG
rnacentral:rRNA from 1 species